ACAAACUUGGUCAUUUAGAGGAAGUAAAAGUCGUAACAAGGUUUCCGUAGGUGAACCUGCGGAAGGAUCAUUAUCGAGUUUUUGAACGGGUUGUAGCUGGUCUCUCUCGGGACAUGUGCACGCCUGGCUCAAUCCACUCUUCAAACCAUUGUGCACUUAUUGUAGGUCGGUUGAAAGGCUUCUUGGGCUCAGUAAAAUGAAUUCAAGAUGCUGGAAGGCCUUCCUAUGUUUUUACUACAAACGCUUCAGUCAUAGAAUGUCAUUUACUUGCGUAUAACGCAUCUAUAUACAACUUUCAGCAACGGAUCUCUUGGCUCUCGCAUCGAUGAAGAACGCAGC
rnacentral:misc_RNA from 1 species